UGUGGGCCCUGGGAAGAGUUAUCUUUUCUCCUUUACAGCUUAUAACCCUGGAAUCGGAUUAUCCGGAGAUAGGGUCUAAUGGCUGGUAGAGCAUUGCUAUUUUGUAAUGUCCGGUGCGUCCACAACGGCCCUUGAAAAUCCGAGGGAAUGAAAAAGUCUUACAUGCGAUCGUACCCAUAUCCGCAUCAGGUCCCCAAGGUGAUCAGCCUCUAGUCCAUAGAAUAAUGUAGAUAAGGGAAGUCGGCAAAAUAGAUCCGUA
rnacentral:rRNA from 1 species